AGAGCUUCUCGGCCUUAUGGCUAAGAUCAAAGUGUAGUAGGUAUCUGUUCUUCUCAGCUUAAUAUACUGGUCCGUCAGUGGGGGGACUUUCAGAUAUUAAGGUGGAUGCUCACACUUGUGGCACGCUUGUCCCCCUAAACACAUUUUUACAGUGCUUUUUCUUUGUUUAGGGGGUUAAUA
rfam:Operophtera brumata OBRT01_Sc14038, whole genome shotgun sequence.